rnacentral:rRNA from 1 species
AUUGAACGCUGGCGGCAUGCCUUACACAUGCAAGUCGAACGGCAGCACGGGUGCUUGCACCUGGUGGCGAGUGGCGAACGGGUGAGUAAUACAUCGGAACGUACCUUAUCGUGGGGGAUAACGCAGCGAAAGCUGUGCUAAUACCGCAUACGCCCUGAGGGGGAAAGCGGGGGAUCGCAAGACCUCGCGCGAUUGGAGCGGCCGAUAUCAGAUUAGGUAGUUGGUGGGGUAAAGGCUCACCAAGCCGACGAUCUGUAGCUGGUCUGAGAGGACGACCAGCCACACUGGGACUGAGACACGGCCCAGACUCCUACGGGAGGCAGCAGUGGGGAAUUUUGGACAAUGGGCGCAAGCCUGAUCCAGCCAUGCCGCGUGCAGGAUGAAGGCCUUCGGGUUGUAAACUGCUUUGUACGGACGAAAGGUUAGGCCGUAAUAAGACUGGACCCAUGACGGUACCGUAAGAAUAAGCACCGGCUAACUACGUGCCAG